AUACGGAGGGUGCAAGCGUUGUUCGGAAUUAUUGGGCGUAAAGCGCGCGCAGGCGGCUUGCCAAGUCUGAUGUGAAAGCCCGGGGCUCAACCUCGGAACUGCAUUGGAAACUGGUAGGCUUGAGUAUGAGAGGGGUUUGUGGAAUUCCUGGUGUAGGGGUGGAAUCCGUAGAUAUCAGGAGGAACACCGGUGGCGAAGGCGACAAACUGGAUCAUUACUGACGCUGAGGUGCGAAAGCGUGGGGAGCAAACAGGAUUAGAAACCCCAGUAGUCC
rnacentral:rRNA from 1 species